GCAUCCAUAGCUUAACUGGAUAGAGCGUCGCCCUCCGGAGGCGGAGGCGGGGGUUCAAGUCCCUCUGGGUGUGCCA
rnacentral:tRNA from 1 species